UACGUAGGGUGCGAGCGUUGUUCGGAAUUACUGGGCGUAAAGAGCUCGUAGGUGGUUUGUCGCGUUGUCCGUGAAAACUCACAACUCAAUUGUGGGCGUGCGGGCGAUACGGGCAGACUGGAGUACUGCAGGGGAGACUGGAAUUCCUGGUGUAGCGGUGGAAUGCGCAGAUAUCAGGAGGAACACCGGUGGCGAAGGCGGGUCUCUGGGCAGUAACUGACGCUGAGGAGCGAAAGCGUGGGGAGCGAACAGG
rnacentral:rRNA from 1 species